rnacentral:tRNA from 1 species
CCUUCCGAAGAAUGGUCUAAUGAAUGGUACAGCCCCCUUACACGCGCGUGAGCAUCUGACUGUUAAUCAGAGGGUUCCUGGUUCGAGUCCAGGCGGGGGAG